rnacentral:rRNA from 1 species
UACGUAGGGUGCAAGCGUUAAUCGGAAUUACUGGGCGUAAAGCGCGCGUAGGCGGCUUUGUAAGUUAGAGGUGAAAGCCCGGGGCUCAACUCCGGAACUGCCUUUAAGACUGCAUCGCUUGAAUCCAGGAGAGGUGAGUGGAAUUCCGAGUGUAGAGGUGAAAUUCGUAGAUAUUCGGAAGAACACCAGUGGCGAAGGCGGCUCACUGGACUGGUAUUGACACUGAGGUGCGAAAGCGUGGGGAGCAAACAGG